GAAAGAUAGAGGUAGUAACUGGCCUUUAUUUGACGGUAAUUACCUAGAAAGUCACGGCUAACUACGUGCCAGCAGCCGCGGUAAUACGUAGGUGGCAAGCGUUGUCCGGAUUUAUUGGGCGUAAAGCGAGUGCAGGCGGUUCAAUAAGUCUGAUGUGAAAGCCUUCGGCUCAACCGGAGAAUUGCAUCAGAAACUGUUGAACUUGAGUGCAGAAGAGGAGAGUGGAACUCCAUGUGUAGCGGUGGAAUGCGUAGAUAUAUGGAAGAACACCAGUGGCGAAGGCGGCUCUCUGGUCUGCAACUGACGCUGAGGCUCGAAAGCAUGGGUAGCGAACAGGAUUAGAUACCCUGGUAGUCCAUGCCGUAAACGAUGAGUGCUAAGUGUUGGGAGGUUUCCG
rnacentral:rRNA from 1 species